rnacentral:rRNA from 1 species
AACGAACGCUGGCGGCAUGCCUAACACAUGCAAGUCGAACGAGACCUUCGGGUCUAGUGGCGCACGGGUGCGUAACGCGUGGGAACCUGCCCUUAGGUUCGGAAUAACUCCCCGAAAGGGGUGCUAAUACCGGAUAAUGUCUUCGGACCAAAGAUUUAUGGCGUUUGGAUGGGCCCGGGUUGGAUUAGCUAGUUGGUAGGGUAAAAGCCUACCAAGGCGACGAUCCAUAGCUGGUCGGGGAGGAUGACCAGCCACACUGGGACUGAGGCACGGCCCAGACCGGGACGGAGGGGAGCGGAGGGGAGUAGUGGGGGAGGGGCGAAAGCGUGAUACCGCAGUGUCCGGGAAGUGAGGAAGGCGGUAGGGUUGUAAAGCUCUUUGAGACGGGGUGAUAAUGACGGUACCGGGUGAAUAAGCUCCGGCUAACUACGUG